ACUGCCGGCAACUUUGUGAGCGAGUUCAGUGCGUGCGUGAGCGAGUGAGCGAAAAGGAGAGCGCGCGGCGGACGCGCCCGGGACGCGCGGCGGCACCGGGAGGCCGGGCCGAGCGGUUUUGAGAGAUUACCUGAAGUUGCACUCAAAAGCAAGAUAUACUACUAACUUUGAAAUGGAAUAAGGAUAGAUGCCCAGGUGCAUGAUUUCUGAGUCAUAGGGCCCUCCCUAUCCUGAAGACAUUAGCUGAGAGUCUGGCACCUUUUAAAGGUCUGAUCAUCAAUUGUCUCUCUGGGCGGCCACCUAUGAGACUUCAUCUGUGUGGUGGACUUACAGUUUCUGGCUACUACUGGUGGAAAAUGAUGGGCUCAGACAAGAGAAAGCAUGGGAUUAUGGCAACCACAGAAUCUCAGUAGUACAAGUUCCAUUCAGUUUUUUCUGAAAGAAAGCCCUCUGUUAAAGUGAAGCAAAGAAACUGUUGUGGAUUAUAACGUUUAGAAGUUCCAAUUUUUCAGUGCUUUACAAAUAAAGCAUCAUUUAACCUUUUAAAUGAAAAAGAUUAAGAUCUCAUG
rnacentral:lncRNA from 1 species